UACGUAGGGUGCAAGCGUUGUCCGGAAUUAUUGGGCGUAAAGAGCUCGUAGGCGGUCAGUCGCGUCUGCUGUGAAAACUCGGGGCUUAACCCCGGGCCUGCAGUGGGUACGGGCUGACUAGAGUGCGGUAGGGGAGACUGGAAUUCCUGGUGUAGCGGUGAAAUGCGCAGAUAUCAGGAGGAACACCAGUAGCGAAGGCGGCACUCUGGGCCGGUACUGACGCUGAGGAGCGAAAGCGUGGGGAGCGAACAGG
rnacentral:rRNA from 1 species